rnacentral:rRNA from 1 species
UGGGGAAUAUUGCACAAUGGGCGAAAGCCUGAUGCAGCAACGCCGCGUGAGCGAUGAAGGCCUUUGGGUCGUAAAGCUCUGUCCUAGGGGAAGAAUAAAUGACGGUACCCUUGGAGGAAGCCCCGGCUAACUACGUGCCAGCAGCCGCGGUAAUACGUAGGUGGCAAGCGUUGUCCGGAAUUAUUGGGCGUAAAGCGCGCGCAGGCGGGAUAUCAAGUCUAUCUUAAAAGUGCUGGGCUCAACCCAGUGAGGGGAUGGAAACUGGUAUUCUUGAGUGUCGGAGAGGAAAGUGGAAUUCCCAGUGUAGCGGUGAAAUGCGUAGAUAUUGGGAGGAACACCAGUGGCGAAGGCGACUUUCUGGACGAUGUCUGACGCUGAGGCGCGAAAGCCAGGGAAGUGAACG